UAGGGAACCUUCCACAAUGGGCGAAAGCCUGAUGGAGCAACGCCGCGUGUGUGAUGAAGGGUUUCGGCUCGUAAAACACUGUUGUAAGAGAAGAAUGACAUUGAGAGUAACUGUUCAAUGUGUGACGGUAUCUUACCAGAAAGGAACGGCUAAAUACGUGCUAG
rnacentral:rRNA from 1 species